ACCUAUAGGACUUCAGUGUGACAGUUAGUACAGUGGUGAACCUAUAGGCCUUCAGUGUGUGACAGUGGUGAACCUAUAGGUCUUCAGUGUGUGUGUGACAGGUUAGUACAGUGGUGAACCUAUAGGUCUUCAGUGUGUGACAGGUUAGUACAGUGGUGAACCUAUAGGCCUUCAGUGUGUGACAGGUUAGUACAGUGGUGAACCUAUAGGUUUCAGUGGUUGGAC
rnacentral:lncRNA from 1 species